CAGCAACUAUGGGAGGAAAAUGAAUGUAUGCUGUUACUAGAAGAACCAGUAGUACUAAUGAUAGUGAGGAUGGACGGAUGUGAAAGGUAAAGUAAUAACUUCUGUUGUGGUGAUGGAGAUGGAUGCACCAUUAUAAACAAGCGAGGCUGGGUGGCUAUGACGUUACAUAGUUAUGGAUCUUGUUUUAUAGUUGAUCAUGUAUAUUAACGGCUAAUCAGUUGAUUUUAAUAUGAAAAGUAGAGAGGGGGGUGAUCAAGUGGAGCAUGGGAUAACUACUGGGUGAUGCAUUAGUUCAGCUAAGUUGAGCGGGGCACGUUUGGAAUGACUUGGCACAUGCUUGCUUGCUAACUUAUGUAAUUCGUGGGUAUCCUCAUAGUUAAGCUAUGUUUCACUUGAGGUAUGCCUGCAGGUAAGGUAAUUUCUGCUAGCUUUCUUGUAAAGAUGGGAAGGUAUGUAGCUAGGGCUGAGUUUGGGAACUCCAAGCCUCUUUUAGUAAAUAGUAGAGAGAUAUUUAUUUAAUUCCUGAAAAAUUGUGUGAAGUGAGAGUUACUAGUAGUGCCUGCAGGUGAUAUAUGGCAUAAGUAACCCAACAGGUGACAAGUAACCCCCGUUAUUCUUGUAAUGUAUUAUGCUCUUCCAAUGCAAUUUGUUGCUUCAUCUUGGGCCCCCUGUGUACUCAUCCUUGGUAGAAAAACAGAGCUUACAAACUUGGGAGUUCAAAAUAGCCAAAAAAAAACUUAGCUAGCUAGGUGAAAGUAAUGCUUAAUUAAUAUUUUUUGUGUAUUGUCCUCUUGCAAAGUUGAUGUGCACAGGCAACUGCAUCAGAUCUAUAACAUACCCUACCAUAUUACAGUGAAACGGAGGAGAUCUCAGGGAAUGGCUGAAGUUGCAUUGGACCAAUCUUGGUCCGACAAGCCUCCAAGACAAACUUGGAUUCAAUUUCGUUCUGGCAGAUCGGUAAGGUGACAGAUAUACUGUAUUUGUCUUUUAUGUGCCGCUUGCGUUAUGGUAUGAUUGAACAGAAUAAUUCGUGUCACAAAUCGAUGUUUAAUCCUGCAGGUAUGAAUGCCAUCCUCGCAAGCAUUGCGCAAGUUGAUAGUGGUGAUAUUCUUGAAAAGAAAAAAUCGAUAGUGGUAAUGAGAAAAGCACAGGAGGAGGACAAGAGGACAAGUGAGGCGGCAAGCUAAGAAGACGGUGGCUUGGCGUGCUUGGCGUAAUCUAACUUGAUUACCAGGCAGAGGCAGACAAACAGUGAGUGCAUCAUAGUAUACAUGAGCUCUAUAUAUAUAUACUUAAUUUGCAGCCAUUUUUUUCCUUCUUGUGCGUGCCUUUAUUUAUGUCUGCUUUGGUCAGCAGCUGGAUUCUAGCUCGAUGGAAGAUGUUCCUGCCACAUGUGCAUGCAUUCAUGCUGGCUUAAGGAAAUUAUUCAGGGAGACAUGAUGCCCAAGCAAGAAGAUCGAGGGCAGGGCUGCUCCAGAUGAGAUCAUCAGCCGCAGCUACACCUCUACCUCUGCUUCUUGUUUUCCUCUACCUGUAGGCUGUAGCAACAACAAGUUUUCCUCUACCCCUCUGCUUCUUGUUUAGCAACAACAAUAGUACUACUGCUCUGCUUCCUGUGUGUCAUCUGCAUCAAUGAUCUGUGAUGAUCUAUUGGAUGUAUCUCAGUAUCUGUGCUUAUAGCUUUCCACCAUCGAAUCGAACAUGCACGACUCAUUUUCUGGUAUUUCUCAGUCAAAUUUCUUUAAAUUUGAUCAAAUUUAUAAAAGAAAAACAUAGCAAUAUUUUCAGUACAAAACAAACAUACUAUGAGAAUGUAUUAUAUUUAUUUGAUGUUAGAUUUAAUAAAAUUAAUAUGAUAUUGUAGAUGUAUUAGUACUAUGCAAUUUUAGUUUGUUUUCUACAGAGUAUUAAUAUUUUCAUUUAGAGAGUAGCCCACGUGGUUGUCAAGGUCGCAUAUCUUACGCUUCGUGUAAUUAAUUAACUGCUGAUAACAUCAAACAAAAUUGAACGGAGCUUUCUUUUCUACUCCAUUUUCCCUCCCUGUUUCAUACCGUAAGACGCUCUUUUAGUAUGAGUAAGUUUAUAGAAGAUUAGACAAGAUGCCUAUUGAUAUAGCUUCAUAAGCAUGCAUAUUAAUGGGUGGU
rnacentral:lncRNA from 1 species